UACGUAGGGGGCAAGCGUUGUCCGGAUUUAUUGGGCGUAAAAGGCUUGUAGGUGGCCACGCCAAGUCGGAUGUGAAAUCUCCCGGCUCAACUGGGAGGGGUCAUUCGAUACUGGCGGGCUCGAGGCCGGUAGGGGGAAGUGGAAUUCCCGGUGUAGUGGUGGAAUGCGUAGAUAUCUGGAGGAACACCGGUGGCGAAGGCGGCAUCUGGACCGGUAUUGACGCUGAGGAGCGAAAGCCAGGGGAGCAAAGCGGG
rnacentral:rRNA from 1 species